AGCGAACGCUGGCGGCAGGCCUAACACAUGCAAGUCGAACGAACUCUUCGGAGUUAGUGGCGGACGGGUGAGUAACACGUGGGAACGUGCCUUUAGGUUCGGAAUAACUCAGGGAAACUUGUGCUAAUACCGAAUGUGCCCUUCGGGGGAAAGAUUUAUCGCCUUUAGAGCGGCCCGCGUCUGAUUAGCUAGUUGGUGAGGUAAAGGCUCACCAAGGCGACGAUCAGUAGCUGGUCUGAGAGGAUGAUCAGCCACAUUGGGACUGAGACACGGCCCAAACUCCUACGGGAGGCAGCAGUGGGGAAUCUUGCGCAAUGGCGAAAGCCUGACGCAGCCAUGCCGCGUGAAUGAUGAAGGUCUUAGGAUUGUAAAAUUCUUUCACCGGGGACGAUAAUGACGGUACCCGGAGAAGAAGCCCCGGCUAACUUCGUG
rnacentral:rRNA from 1 species